UCACAAUGGGAUAUCUUCCAAAGUGAGGCA
rnacentral:piRNA from 1 species